AUUGAACGCUGGCGGCAGGCCUAACACAUGCAAGUCGAACGAGUGGCGGACGGGUGAGUAAUGUCUGGGAAACUCCCUGAUGGAGGGGGAUCACUACUGGAAACGAUAUCUAAUACCGCAUACCAUCAGAUGUGCCCACAUGGGAUUAGCUUGUUGGUGGGGUAACGGCUCACCAAGGCGAAGAUCCCUAGCUGGUCUGAGAGGAUGACCCGACACACUGGAACUGAGACACGGGCCAGACUCCUACGGGAGGCAGCAGUGGGGAAUAGUGCACAAUGGGCGCAAGCCUGAUGCAGCCAUGCCGCGUGUAUGAAGAAGGCCUUCGGGUGGUAAAGUACUUUCAGCGGGGAGGCGUUACCCGCAGAAGAAGCACCGGCUAACUCCGUGCCAGCAGCCGCGGUAAUAC
rnacentral:rRNA from 1 species